rnacentral:rRNA from 1 species
GACGAACGCUGGCGGCGUGCUUAACACAUGCAAGUCGAACGGAAAGGCCCUGCUUUUGUGGGGUGCUCGAGUGGCGAACGGGUGAGUAACACGUGAGUAACCUGCCCUUGACUUUGGGAUAACUUCAGGAAACUGGGUCUAAUACCGGAUAGGAGCUCCUGCUGCAUGGUGGUGGUUGGAAAGUUUCGGCGGUUGGGGAUGGACUCGCGGCUUAUCAGCUUGUUGGUGGGGUAGUGGCUUACCAAGGCUUUGACGGGUAGCCGGCCUGAGAGGGUGACCGGCGACAUUGGGACUGAGAUACGGCCCAGAAUCCUACGGGAGGCAGCAGUGGGGAAUAUUGCACAAUGGGCGGAAGCCUGAUGCAGAAACGCCGCGUGCGGGAUGACGGCCUUCGGGUUGUAAACCGCUUUCGCAUGUGACGAAGCGUGAGUGACGGUAAUGGGUAAAGAAGCACCGGCUAACUACGUG